AUUGAACGCUGGCGGUAGGCCUAACACAUGCAAGUCGAACGAGUGGCGGACGGGUGAGUAAUGUCUGGGAAACUGCCCGACGGAGGGGGAUAACUACUGGAAACGGUAGCUAAUACCGCAUACCAUCGGAUGUGCCCAGAUGGGAUGAGCUAGUAGGUGGGGUAACGGCUCACCUAGGCGACGAUCCCUAGCUGGUCUGAGAGGGUGACCGGCCACACGGGAACUGAGACACGGUCCAGACUCGUACGGGAGGCAGCAGUGGGGAAUAUUCCACAAUGGGCGCAAGCCUGAUGCAGCCAUGCCGCGUGUAUGAAGAAGGCCUUCGGGUUGUAAAGUACUUUCAGCGAGGAGGCGUUACUCGCACAGGAAGCACCGGCUAACUCCGUGCCAGCAGCCGCGGUAAUAC
rnacentral:rRNA from 1 species